rnacentral:lncRNA from 1 species
UGUCAAUUUAUGGUCAGUAUCGUGGUAUGGUAAUUUGGCUAAUUCGUGUUUGAGGCCAGUUAAGAUGUUUAACUGACAUUUAAUUGUUGUUCAAUUUCCAAAUUAAUUUAAGUUUUUCAAUUGCAAACGAAUCAUCAGACGUCUAAGUGACUGAAGUCCCUUUGUGACGCGGUGAAUAAAGAACGUUGUUUCCGUUCCUUCCGGACUGCGAACACAGGUCUACAAACACGCUCCCCAAAAGCAGGUGUCAUCGGGGAUGAGGACAGACGUGAAAGGCGUGAUGUAAGGUCAUGUUUUGGAAGAACGGGUAACUGCAGCCCGCAAUUCGGGCGUUCCUACAUUUGAAGCAGCCUACCGUCCUCCACCGUCCUCCACCGUCCUCAUGGCUGAAGAGAUCAGGAAAAUAGGUGCUCUGCUAGAUCAGCCUCUGAGUGAGAAAGACCAAGAACUCAUCACUUACGUCAAGCACAAGUUUUCCACCGACUUCAAAAAAGACACAGUGGGACAAGAAGUUUGGAAAAAAGACAGUGAUCUCCAGCAAAUUCACUCAGGAGAAGACUAAAAAGGAGGAGAACGUCAGAGCCCCUCCAGUGGAGAACCUGAAUGGUUUCUUCCAGCUGAAGCAGUACAUGAGAGAGAUGGUCUCCAUCAGACACGCUCUCCACACUGGACGCCCCCUCAUAUAUUGCCUCAGGGACCAGGAUAAACCGUUACUGCUAAUGAAGAAACCUGUGCCUCCUAAGACACCAUGUGACCGAGCCAUAUCAGCUGAUAAAGAGACUAUAGCACCAUUGUCCAUGAACCAACAGGCACUGGACCCAGAGGAAGAGGAGAACCUACAGAGGAUACAGUACAGGAAGCAGAAGCUGUUCUUAGAGAAACUCCAGUGGAUUUACAUGGUCCUGUGUGGCAUCUCUCACAUGCGAAACAGAGACCUGAAGACACUGGUUCCUCUCAACAGCAGCUAUGUGAACAUCAUCAUGAAGGACACAGAGAAGACCAACAUCCUGUUGAAGCAGUCGCACAGCUACAACCCUCCGUUGAAUUACACCAGGCAGCUGGUGUCCCUGGCCCCCGAGGACUGUCACAGCAUCAGCCGUGACGUGUGGGACACCUUUAUCAGCCACCAGGACACCACAGAGCCCUCGAAGUUAACCACCAUCCGAACCGCAGGAUAUAAAGCUCUGCAGUCGGGGCCCAGGCGCAAGGUUGGCCAGAGAGAGCCAGACGGAGAUGGAUACAUGCCCCCAUGGCUGCUGCUGGAUGAGAACACGUCCCUAGAGAAGAAAACAGUAAAGCCUGGUGUAGACCAGUCAGGCAUGCUGGAGAGAGCCAAGGCCCAAUACCGGGAUGUGAAGAAAGUUCUGAACGUCCCGAUGGAGUCCAUAGUGUUUCAAAAGAGAAAGAACCGAGGGGAGAGGAUGAGAACUCUUUUCAAUGCUCUAAUGGCCUCAAAGACCAACGCUGGUCUGUCCUCACUCCUUACCUCUCUGAAGAGUGAGCUGAAGGAGCCCAAAUCCACCACAGGUCUCUGGUUUGCGACACUGCAGAGUGAUGCCACAGAAUUGUCCGGAGACAGAGACUCCAAAUACAACAGCAUACUGCAGAAGAUCUCAGAGUUUCAAAGCUUCUCCAACAAAAAGCUCCCCUACUCCAAGGAGAAGUUCUGUCUCCUGGUCCUCUCCAUGUCACCCAAUCAGCUGCUUCGACCGGCCAUGCAGGAAGCACUGCUCUUCCUCACGGAGAACGUGCUGCUGUUGUUGCCGCGGCACCUCAAACAGUGGUACCAGUACCUGAAGCUCCCAUUCCCCACCACGGCAACCGCCUCCUAAAAAAGAAAAGGGAUCCGCCUACCUACACUGAUGCUCUGUGUUCUUCACUACCUGUCUACAAUGUGGGCCUGGGACUUACAGGCCUGAGUUGAGUCUGAAAUGGUUCUUUAUCCUCAACAUAGCCCCCUAUAUUGGGGAAUAUAGUCAUUUCAGACAGCCCUAGGUUCUUGGUGGGAUAGUCAAUGUUGGGGGCUCAGGUAAAGACUAUCUGUUCACUGGUUGAGCCAUUAAAAC